rnacentral:rRNA from 1 species
GUAGGUGGCAAGCGUUGUCCGGAAUUAUUGGGCGUAAAGCGCGCGCAGGCGGUUCUUUAAGUCUGAUGUGAAAGCCCACGGCUCAACCGUGGAGGGUCAUUGGAAACUGGAGAACUUGAGUACAGAAGAGGAAAGCGGAAUUCCACGUGUUGCGGUGAAAUGCGUAGAGAUGUGGAGGAACACCAGUGGCGAAGGCGGCUUUCUGGUCUGUAACUGACGCUGAGGCGCGAAAGCGUGGGGAGCAAACAGGAUUAGAUACCCUGGUAGUCCACGCCGUAAACGAUGAGUGCUAAGUGUUAGGGGGUUUCCGCCCCCCUUAGUGCUGCAGCUAACGCAUUAAGCACUCCGCCUGGGAGUACGGCCGCAAGGCUG